UACGAAGGGGGCUAGCGUUGCUCGGAAUCACUGGGCGUAAAGGGUGCGUAGGCGGGUUUUUAAGUCAGGGGUGAAAUCCUGGAGCUCAACUCCAGAACUGCCUUUGAUACUGAAGAUCUCGAGUCCGGGAGAGGUGAGUGGAACUGCGAGUGUAGAGGUGAAAUUCGUAGAUAUUCGCAAGAACACCAGUGGCGAAGGCGGCUCACUGGCCCGGUACUGACGCUGAGACGCGAAAGCGUGGGGAGCAAACAGG
rnacentral:rRNA from 1 species